AGAGUAGAAUCAAUCCGCAUUCCUAACCAGCCUACCCAACACGCAAUCAAAACCGGUCGAGUAAAAUUGUAUGGCAGAAAGUAAUGAUUUGACCUGUUAGAAAGAUGGCGUCUGGGAGGAGGACUGGAUUUCCGUGGAACAUGUUUUGGAUUGUCUUUUUGUUAUGGACGGAUCUGUACUGCAGUGCCUUACCGACCCCGACAGUAAAAGACUCCAACAAAGUACACGUUUGCCCAUAUAACAGAACAGAAUGGCAGAAAUCCUCUAAAAGGCUUAACUGCACAAGCGAUAUAAAAAACAGAUACCACUGCCUUCCUGUCAGGAACCUAACUACAUUAAUGGAGUUCUGUUAUAACGAGACAAGACCUCGGGUUACGUCGGGAGGGUGUAUCACAUAUGUACCGGAAAGUAAUGCCAUGUACAAACUUAACUGUUCGACAUUUGAUUACGGUUGUCCAGACGUCCCUUACUUCAGUGACGAAAUUUAUACAUUCCCAAGUUGUAGCAAUAUAAAUCCAAUUGAUCGAUGCUACGUUGCCGAUUCCUUUUGCCCUCCAACUCCAGCAAAUGAGAGGAAAACAAAAGACAGUGCGUUCCUCUCUAUUGCCAUCGUCCUGUGUGCGUUUUUUAUUUUAUUUGUGGCGGGUAUUGUAGGAUUAAUCCUCUACAAAAACCGAAAAGGAAAAAAAGGUAUAAUUUAUCAAGCUUUAACGAAACUGCUUUUUUAAUUUCCAUGAGUUUGUUAGUGUUCUGUCAAGUGACAAUCAUGUUUAUUUGUUCGUUCAAUCUUUCAAAUACAAAAGUGGGAGAGAAAAAACUUCGAGAGUUUCUCAUGAAAGAAAAGAUUGACAUAUCCCAUAUAAGAUGCAUCAUAGUUGGAUGUGCACGUGCAGGGAAAACAACUUUUCUAAGAAGAUUGGAAAAUACACAAUUUGAGAAACUAAAAACCGAAGUCAAAUCAACGGAAAUGACUGAUAUCUACGUUAACAUGUUUGAGGUGUCCAAAGAUAGAGAAACCAUUGAAAGUAUACUCUUUUGUCUAAUAUAGAAAAAAAAAUCAAUGUUUGAUAUUUCAUGUAAUAAUAAAUAAUGUCAUUUU
rnacentral:misc_RNA from 1 species